ACCAGACUUGCCCUCCAAUAGAUCCUCGUUAAAGGAUUUAAAUUGUACCCAUUCCGAUGACAGACCUCGAAGAGGACUGUCUCGUUAUUUUUCGUCACUACCUCUCCGUUCUGGAAGUGGGUAAUUUGCGCGCCUGCUGCCUUCCUUGGAUGUGGUAGCCGUUUCUCAGGCUCCCUCUCCGGAGUCGAACCCUUAUUCUCCGUUACCCGUUACUACCAUGGUAGGCGUAUAACCUACCAUCGAAAGUUGAUAAGGCAGACACUUGAAAGAUACAUCGCCAGUACUAGGACUGUGCGAUUGGCAAAGUUAUUCAGAUUCACCAAAUUACGGGCCGAAACCCGAUUGGUUUUUAUUCUAAUAAAUGCGCUCGUUCCUUGCGGGCGGAGCUUUUUUGCAUGUAUUAGCUCUAGAAUUGCCACAGUUAUCCAAGUAGGAUAACUAUAUUCUAGUAAACGGUGGCUGUUGUAAUGAGCUAUUCGCGGCUUCACCGUAUUAAGGCAUGUGCUUAGACAUGCAUGGCUUAAUCCUUGAGACAAGCAUAUGACUACUGGCAGGAUCAACCAG
rnacentral:rRNA from 1 species